rnacentral:rRNA from 1 species
UACAGAGGUCUCAAGCGUUGUUCGGAUUCAUUGGGCGUAAAGGGCGCGUAGGCGGCGGGGUAAGUCGGGUGUGAAAUCUCAGGGCUCAACCCUGAAACUGCACUCGAUACUGCUCUGCUUGAGGACUGGAGAGGAGACUGGAAUUCACGGUGUAGCAGUGAAAUGCGUAGAUAUCGUGAGGAAGACCAGUGGCGAAGGCGGGUCUCUGGACAGUUCCGUGACGCUGAGGCGCGAAAGGCCAGGGGA